GCAGUGGUGGCCAAGUGGUUAAGACGUUGGACUACUGAUCGUCGUGAGUUCAAAUCCCAGCACUGCC